CAGCAGCCGCGGGAAUACGUAGGGUGCAAGCGUUAAUCGGAAUUACUGGGCGUAAAGCGUGCGCAGGCGGUUUGGCAAGUCUUGUGUGAAAUCUUCGGGCUCAGCCCGAAGCCUGCACGAGAAACUACCGGGCUUGAGUAUUGGAGAGGUGAGUGGAAUUUCCGGUGUAGCGGUGAAAUGCGUAGAUAUCGGAAGGAACACCUGUGGCGAAAGCGGCUCACUGGACAAUAACUGACGCUGAUGCACGAAAGCUAGGGGAGCAAACAGGAUUAGAUACCCGUGUAGUCCCUGUCUCUUAUAA
rnacentral:rRNA from 1 species